GACGAACGCUGGCGGCGUGCUUAACACAUGCAAGUCGAACGGAAAGGCCCUGCUUGCAGGGUACUCGAGUGGCGAACGGGUGAGUAACACGUGGGUGAUCUGCCCUGCACUUCGGGAUAAGCCUGGGAAACUGGGUCUAAUACUGGAUAGGAGCCAUUUUUAGUGUGAUGGUUGGAACGUUUUUUCGGUGUAGGAUGAGCUCGCGGCCUAUCAGCUUGUUGGUGGGGUAAUGGCCUACCAAGGCGGCGACGGGUAGCCGGCCUGGGAGGGUGGACGGCCACAUUGGGACUGAGAUACGGCCCAGACUCCUACGGGAGGCAGCAGUGGGGAAUAGUGCACAAUGGGCGCAAGCCUGAUGCAGCGACGCCGCGUGGGGGAUGACGGCCUUCGGGUUGUAAACUCCCUUCGCUAGGGACGAAGCUUUUUGUGACGGUACCUAGAUAAGAAGCACCGGCUAACUACGU
rnacentral:rRNA from 1 species